GAAUUAAAGUGCAGGAGAGCCCUUCCAGGUGAGAAGGUGUUAAAUUUAUUUGCUGAAGGUUACUCAGGAAGACACGACCCAGGAUGGGGGUGAGAGCCCUGAAAGAAAACCCUGCUUGAUCUCCAGCUCUUUUCAAAGCUGAGUGUUAAGGAACAGAUGUUUAAGUUAAUUCAUCAGAGGAGGAAAAUGCCAGUCUAGUGAAAACACAACUCGUGAAGGAGAGAGAACCGAGUGGAAAACACAGAGUGUGGAUAAUACAGGAUGAAUUCCAGGUUGGUCUUUGCCUGACCUUAGGACAACAUCAGUGACAAUAAAAGCUGGAGAUGGGAUUUGGGGAGGCUGUGAGAGCCUGGCUCAUCAGGAAACUGGACAAGAGCCAGAAACAAUCUGUCCUGCUUGAAGCAUCUGCAUUUUGCCUCCACAACUCUCCAGAAAGGCACCAUCUCCAUCUCCCUGCCAUGCUGCUGAAAUUCAUUUUGGAGAUGAUAAAACCACUCAGGAACAGCAAAAGAUCCUUCACUUCUGAAUGUGGGAGUGUCCCUAAAUCAAGGUUUGGGACAAUGGCUCAGAAUGGCUGCCCUCACUUUUGGUUUCAGCAUGAAAACUUGGUGCAAGUUACCAACAUUUUGGUUCGUUGAAUUGUGAAGCUAAAAAAGGGAUUAAACACAACCGCCAAAAAAAGAUUGUAUCAAAUCUGAAAAUUCUACACCUUCCAUAUUACUGGCUAAAGUCUGCAAAGGCAAACUGGGGUAGGACACAGGAGAGAGAAAGGAACAGAAAACAGCCUGAAUUUUCACCCAAAGACCUAAAUGAAAUCACAAGUCUUGCAAAGGUUUAGAGAAAUCUGGAUACUUCUGUGAUGUUCACAAGGCACUGAAUUGGGGAGGUUAUUGCUUAGAAAGGAAAAUAUCAAUUAUUGCAGUAGUAUUUAAUGGUAUGUAUGGUCCCAUAGGCCAAAAUC